ACAAAAACCCCAACAAGCCUGCCAGUUUGCUGGUGCCUGUGGUAAGGGGAAUAGCAAGAGACGUGUUUCAAC